rnacentral:rRNA from 1 species
AUUGAACGCUGGCGGAAUGCUUUACACAUGCAAGUCGAACGGCAGCACGGACUUCGGUCUGGUGGCGAGUGGCGAACGGGUGAGUAACAUAUCGGAACGUGCCCAAUCGUGGGGGAUAACGUAGCGAAAGCUACGCUAAUACCGCAUACGAUCUACGGAUGAAAGCAGGGGAUCGCAAGACCUUGCGCGAAUGGAGCGGCCGAUGGCAGAUUAGGUAGUUGGUGGGGUAAAGGCUCACCAAGCCUUCGAUCUGUAGCUGGUCUGAGAGGACGACCAGCCACACUGGGACUGAGACACGGCCCAGACUCCUACGGGAGGCUG